AUACGUAGGGAGCGAGCGUUGUCCGGAAUUACUGGGUGUAAAGGGAGCGUAGGCGGGACUGCAAGUCAGAUGUGAAAUACCGGGGCUUAACCCCGGAGCUGCAUUUGAAACUGUGGUUCUUGAGUGAAGUAGAGGCAAGCGGAAUUCCUGGUGUAGCGGGGAAAUGCGUAGAUAUCAGGAGGAACACCGGUGGCGAAGGCGGCUUGCUGGGCUUUUACUGACGCUGAGGCUCGAAAGCGUGGGUAGCAAACAGGAUUAGAUACCCUGGUAGUCCACGCUGUAAACGAUGAUUACUAGGUGUGGGGGGACUGACCCCUUCCGUGCCGCAGUUAACCCAAUAAGUAAUCCACCUGGGGAGUACGGCCGCAAGGUUGAAACUCAAAUGAAUUGACGGGG
rnacentral:rRNA from 1 species